GGGGAAUAUUGCACAAUGGGCGAAAGCCUGAUGCAGCGACGCCGCGUGCGGGAUGAAGGCCUUCGGGUUGUAAACCGCUUUUGAUUGGGAGCAAGCGAGAGUGAGUGUACCUUUCGAAUAAGCACCGGCUAACUACGUGCCAGCAGCCGCGGUAAUACGUAGGGUGCAAGCGUUAUCCGGAAUUAUUGGGCGUAAAGAGCUCGUAGGCGGUUUGUCGCGUCUGGUGUGAAAGUCCAUCGCUUAACGGUGGAUCUGCGCCGGGUACGGGCAGGCUAGAGUGCGACAGGGGAGACUGGAAUUCCCGGUGUAACGGUGGAAUGUGUAGAUAUCGGGAAGAACACCAAUGGCGAAGGCAGGUCUCUGGGUCGUCACUGACGCUGAGGAGCGAAAAGCGUGGGGAGCGAACAGGAUUAGAUACCCUGGUAGUCCACGCCGUAAACGGUGGAUGCUGGAU
rnacentral:rRNA from 1 species